rnacentral:rRNA from 1 species
AUUGAACGCUGGCGGCAGGCUUAACACAUGCAAGUCGAGCGAGCGGCGGACGGGUGAGUAAUGUCUGGGAAACUGCCUGAUGGAGGGGGAUAACUAAUGGAAACGGUAGCUAAUAACGCAUACCAUCAGAUGUGCCCAGAUGGGAUUAGCUAGGAGGUGGGGUAAUGGCUAACCUAGGCAACGAUCCCUAGCUGGUCUGAGAGGAUGACCAGCAACACUGGAACUGAUACACGGUCCAGUCUCCGACGAGAGGCAGCAGUUGGGAAUAUUGCACAAUGGGCGCAAGCCUGGUGCAGCCCUGCCGCGUGUGUGAAGAAGGCCUUCGGGUUGUAAAGCACUUUCAGCGAGGAGGCGUUACUCGCAGAAGAAGCACCGGCUAACUCCGUGCCAGCAGCCGCGGUAAUAC